GGGACACGUGGUAUCCUGUCUGAAUAUGGGGGGACCAUCCUCCAAGGCUAAAUACUCCUGACUGACCGAUAGUGAACCAGUACCGUGAGGGAAAGGCGAAAAGAACCCCGGCGAGGGGAGUGAAAAAGAACCUGAAACCGUGUACGUACAAGCAGUGGGAGCACCUUCGGGUGUGACUGCGUACCUUUUGUAUAAUGGGUCAGCGACUUAUAUUCUGUAGCAAGGUUAACCGUAUAGGGGAGCCGCAGGGAAACCGAGUCUUAACUGGGCGUUAAGUUGCAGGGUAUAGACCCGAAACCCGGUGAUCUAGCCAUGGGCAGGUUGAAGGUUGGGUAACACUAACUGGAGGACCGAACCGACUAAUGUUGAAAAAUUAGCGGAUGACUUGUGGCUGGGGGUGAAAGGCCAAUCAAACCGGGAGAUAGCUGGUUCUCCCCGAAAGCUAUUUAGGUAGCGCCUCGUGAAUUCAUCUUCGGGGGUAGAGCACUGUUUCGGCUAGGGGGUCAUCCCGACUUACCAACCCGAUGCAAACUACGAAUACCGAAGAAUGUUAUCACGGGAGACACACGGCGGGUGCUAACGUCCGUCGUGAAGAGGGAAACAACCCAGACCGCCAGCUAAGGUCCCAAAGUCAUGGUUAAGUGGGAAACGAUGUGGGAAGGCACAGACAGCCAGGAUGUUGGCUUAGAAGCAGCCAUCAUUUAAAGAAAGCGUAAUAGCUCACUGGUCGAGUCGGCCUGCGCGGAAGAUGUAACGGGGCUAAACCAUGCACCGAAGCUGCGGCAGCGACACUAUGUGUUGUUGGGUAGGGGAGCGUUCUGUAAGCCUGCGAAGGUGACCUGUGAGGGUUGCUGGAGGUAUCAGAAGUGCGAAUGCUGACAUAAGUAACGAUAAAGCGGGUGAAAAGCCCGCUCGCCGGAAGACCAAGGGUUCCUGUCCAACGUUAAUCGGGGCAGGGUGAGUCGACCCCUAAGGCGAGGCCGAAAGGCGUAGUCGAUGGGAAACAGGUUAAUAUUCCUGUACUUGGUGUUACUGCGAAGGGGGGACGGAGAAGGCUAUGUUAGCCGGGCGACGGUUGUC
rnacentral:rRNA from 2 species